UUGACCUUCCUCGUCGAGCAAAUUAUUUCGAUGAUGAAUGAUGAGGCGUAGGUUCAGACCCCAGCAGACGUGGUUUUACUUGGCAAGGAACAUUGGAAGUAAAGGUUAUGAGUAUAUGCAAUUUCGUUAUUACAGUUUUUGAAAAUG